rnacentral:rRNA from 1 species
CAUGGCCUACGGGAGGCAGCAGUGAGGAAUAUUGGUCAAUGGCCGGAAGGCUGAACCAGCCAUGCCGCGUGAAGGUCAGUGCCCUAUGGGCGUUAAACUUCUUUUGUGCGGGAGCAAUAAUGGUCACGUGUGGCCAGACGAGAGUACCGUACGAAUAAGCAUCGGCUAACUCCGUGCCAGCAGCCGCGGUAAUACGGAGGAUGCGAGCGUUAUCCGGAUUUAUUGGGUUUAAAGGGUGCGCAGGCGGCGAGUUAAGUCAGCGGUAAAAUUUCGGGGCUCAACCCCGACGAGCCGUUGAAACUGGG